UGGGGAAUUUUUCGCAAUGGGGGAAACCCUGACGAAGCAACGCCGCGUGGGGGAUGAAGGUCUUCGGAUUGUAAACCCCUGUCGACCGGGACGAAAGUAGCUCGACCCAAUACGUCGGGUUAUCGACUGUACCGGUGGAGGAAGCCACGGCUAACUCUGUGCCAGCAGCCGCGGUAAUACAGAGGUGGCAAGCGUUGUUCGGAAUUACUGGGCGUAAAGGGCGCGUAGGCGGUCUUGUAAGUUCCGUGUGAAAUCCCUCGGCUCAACUGAGGAACUGCACGGAAAACUGCUUGGCUUGAGUUCGGGAGAGGGAAGCGGAAUUCCGGGUGUAGCGGUGAAAUGCGUAGAUAUCCGGAGGAACACCGGUGGCGAAGGCGGCUUCCUGGACCGACACUGACGCUGAGGCGCGAAAGCUAGGGGAGCAAACGG
rnacentral:rRNA from 1 species